rnacentral:rRNA from 1 species
GACGAACGCUGGCGGCGUGCCUAAUACAUGCAAGUAGAACGCUGAAGAGAGGAGCUUGCUCUUCUUGGAUGAGUUGCGAACGGGUGAGUAACGCGUAGGUAACCUGCCUUGUAGCGGGGGAUAACUAUUGGAAACGAUAGCUAAUACCGCAUAACAAUGGAUGACACAUGUCAUUUAUUUGAAAGGGGCAAUUGCUCCACUACAAGAUGGACCUGCGUUGUAUUAGCUAGUAGGUGAGGUAAUGGCUCACCUAGGCGACGAUACAUAGCCGACCUGAGAGGGUGAUCGGCCACACUGGGACUGAGACACGGCCCAGACUCCUACGGGGGGCAGCAGUAGGGAAUCUUCGGCAAUGGGGGCAACCCUGACCGAGCAACGCCGCGUGAGUGAAGAAGGUUUUCGGAUCGUAAAGCUCUGUUGUAAGUCAAGAACGGGUGUGAGAGUGGAAAGUUCACACUGUGACGGUAGCUUACCAGAAAGGGACGGCUAACUACGUG